AGUGAUACUGAAGACUGGCAAGAACAGUCAUCUUCCUUCUGAGAUUUAAAACUGCCUUAGGGCUUCAUCUCAACUUGCCUGCUGGCCUCAGGCCCAUGAGUUCGCUCCAGGACAUCUCUCAACCUCCACAAGCGCAGCGCUGACUCGUUAGUUCCUGAGCUACGACUCAGAGGCCUUUCCAGUGCAGCGCUCUUGGAUUUGGGCCAUUGAAGCAGUCACCACCUCAGCACCUUGCAGAUUGCCGUGGAGCACUCUGGAGAGCGUCAGAAGAAGCGGCCACCAUUUGGGGCUCUGCUUGAGAAAAAAGCAUGCGAAAGAGCAUGGUCGCCAUUUUGCGACUAGGAGAAAGCUCACGAAGCACCAAUGGCCACCAGCUAAAACACCUGGCACUGCAGAGUCAACAGAGGUCCUAGAAACACUCCAGGCUGCACCAGCAUUACUUCUAUCAUCUGCGCUUCUUCUCCACAGGCAGCUGAGGCCAGCUACCACCAGCACUCCGUUCACUGAAUCUACAGUGGAAAAGGAGGUUAUUCUUUCUCCUAAAAUCUUCAUGAAUGUGAUCCAAAAGCAGUGGGAUUCCCCUGGAACAAGUCCACAACUACCAAUUUAGACAAACAUCUCUACAACGUCACUCCAGAAUUUACCAAAUUUCUCAAGACUCCUCCAGUGGAUGUGCCAGUUGCAGCAUUGUUUUCUCCUACAGUGGUCUCUGGAGCCCCUGAAGAAGUCCUCAAGCAUGAGGAGAAAAGGUCAGAUCAAAUCUUAGUCAAAAGUUACCAGUCAGGUGCCUGGGCAGUUAGGACCUCCACAGCUGCUUCUUUUUUCCCCAGGGCCACUCUAGUCUGGAUUGAGCAGCUCCAGGAGCAUAUUGCAACCAGUAACACUAGGUCACACAGGGAUUUAAACAAAAUUAGGGCAGCUGUUGAAUAUGUGGUGGAUAUUUCCCUCAACGCUGCUAGGUUCGUUUCUAAAGCCAUGGCCUCUUCAGUCAUGGCCAGGCACCUGCUAUGGCUCAAACCAUGGUAGCGGAAGUCCGUACCAAAUGGCGCCUCGCAGCCUCCCCUUUCAGUGGCACUCAGCUCUUGGAACUCCUUUGGAUCCAUACCUCACAGAAUCUAAGACAAACACAAAGUUCCUUUCCUCUAUCUAUAAUAGCAGGACAGUCAUCCCAUCCCUUUCUACAGGAGGUCACCCUUUCGGCCAGCGGACAGAGAUCCUCCUUCUCUUAUCUGCAUCACCAGUCCUUCACCCUCAGAAGAGAUCUAAUCAGGACAGAUCUAACCGAAAUGCCCAGCGUUUCCCCCCAAAGAAGUCUUACCGGAGGAAGGGGAAUCACCAUUUCUCAUGAUGAAAGUGACUAUCUGGACUCUCUUCCAAUCGGGGGUCACUUAGCAUUUUUGCCCACUGCUGGGAGGAGACCAUGACAGACAAUUGGGUAAUCAAAAUGAUCAAAUUCGGUCUUAUGCUGGAAUUCCUCUCCUCCAUCACCCCACCCCUCAGGAACACUGUCUCUCCCCAGGGCACCCCCCCCCCGGAGCCCUGUCUCUCAGUGCCCUUGCAAGAGGCUUCUGAUGGAGCAGGUCAUUCAGCAUCUGCUGGAGAUUCAGGCCAUCCAACCGGUCCCCCCUCAACCGAAAGGGCAGGGUUUUUAAUCCUACCUCUAUGUGGUACCAAAGGCUUCCCGGCGAUGGAGAGCAAUCCUGGAUCUAAAGUCAUUGAUCCACCACAUCGUUUAAGUGCUCGAUUGAAGUUAUUGCUUCAAAAUAUUACAUUAGGAAUGCCCAUAACACUGUCCCAUGCCAUUUUCAUUUCAUUCCUAAAUGCUUUUGUUGCAUCUAAAUGUCGCCUUCAUCCUGUGUUUUUUUUUAAAAAGAAUAGUAAACUUCCUGAGUUGAAUUUGAAUCAUGUUGACCACUUGGAUUCAUGCAUGCAGUUUUCUUUUUAACCAUAUGGAAUUGAUUUGUCAUUGUUUCUUCUGGGGUGGUUUCGUCAACUACAAUAACUAGUCUAGCCUACAACCUUAAAUGUAGAUUGGUUAGACUAAAAAAGUUUUUUUUAACUAUCACGGAAUCUCUGGUUAUCUGGCAGUUAAUAUAAUCCACAUGGCAAAUAUGUGAUAAGAUUACAGUAUCUUUUCCCAAUGUAGUACCUUACAGCUCUUAGUGCUAGCCAUGGAUGGAAGUUACAAUCAACACUCCGCAUUGAAAAAGGCAGGGUAGAAUGAAAAACAAUUUAAUGAAAAGGUGGAAAUGUUAAAGACUGAUUAAUGCAAUGGUAAUUUUCUUUUCAGAUUCCCUGGAAGAGUCCCUCCAUCAUAAUUAUCAUCCAAAGUAAUCACCUGAGCAUUAAUACAUAAAGAACAUAAUUUCCAUUAGAUCUGGGAAUCAGUAUGUGUCAGGCCUGUACCUUCCAUGUUCACCAAAAUAUGAUGUGAAACUGCCAAACCAUAUGAGAUUGUUUAUUUCUGCUUAACAUUUCAGCUAUUUGAAGUUUUUGUAGUGUCCGCUGGAAGCUUCCAGGUUUUAUUAGCAUCUUCUGGCACACCAUUGCCUAACUCUGUUAAGUAGUUAGUAAAGGUAUUGUUCAUUGUAAUUAUAUUGCUUCUUAUAUUUUAAUUUGGCAUAUGGUGUCAUUUCAAUAAAACAUUUGUAUUCACUUCCAUUUA